GUUGUGAGUAAUUAGAUUGUUUUUUGCUGCGUUUAGGUUGUACCACCUCGUUGUUUUCGUGUACUUUUGUGCUCAUCGACGCGAAGUGAUCGUCCGGAGUGAAGGCGACGCGAUUAUGCGUGAGAAAGAAGGGCACCAGCGGCCUACGACAUCGGUGUUUCUUUGUGACAGUGUGUUUACUACGCCUACGACGGCCGUCAUUCGUGGCGAAGGAGAAAACAUCUUCCAUUCGGCCUGAACAGUGAUGAAGUGGACGUUUUGUUUUUCGGCGGAAUGCAUCGUCAACAUGGUCCAUCCACUACGUAAACGAAACGGCGUGCCCAGAGUACAGAUCGUGACAGCGCUCCGCCUACAAACCGAGGGCCUUUUGCAAGGCGCAUGAACUGCUCAUAUAAAAGUUGCAGUCAGCAUGAAGCAAUUGCAUGGGAACCGACUGGCUGUCUUGGGCCUACACGUUGCUGAAAAGACAGUGAAGACGUCUGACCCGACAGGUAGAAAAGAAGCAGAUGGCUACAGUGAUCAAUGAAGAAAUGGCUUCAUCUAUGAUGGCUCGCCUUAGGACAUUGGAAUGGAGCUACAAAAAGGCAUCAUCAUCCUCGCCUGUGCCCUGGA